CUCACCAUGGGAUGGAGCUUGAUCAUUCCCUUUCUCCUGUUGUUAACUACAGGUGUCCACUCCCAGGUCCAGCUACAGCAGCCUGGGGCAGACUUGGUAAAACCUGGGUCCUCAGUGAAGUUGUCCUGCAAGGCUUCAGGCUACACCUUCACUGACUACUAUAUUAACUGGGUGAUGCAGAGACCUGGACAGGGCCUGGAGUGGAUUGGAAGGAUUUAUCCUGGAGAUGGUGGUACUAACUAUAAUCAGAAGUUCAAGGACAAGGCCAAACUGACUGCAGACAAAUCCUCCAGCACAGCCUACAUGGAUCUCAACAGCCUGACACAUGAGGACUCUGGGGUCUAUUACUGUGCAAGAGACACAGUGUUGCAACCACAUCCUGAGUGUGUCAGAAACAGUGGAGGUGCAGGAGGCUGUCCAGGGACAGAGAUGACAGAAGAUUAG